AGUGAACGCUGGCGGUAGGCCUAACACAUGCAAGUCGAACGGCAGCACAGUAAGAGCUUGCUCUUACGGGUGGCGAGUGGCGGACGGGUGAGGAAUACAUCGGAAUCUACUUUUUCGUGGGGGAUAACGUAGGGAAACUUACGCUAAUACCGCAUACGACCUACGGGUGAAAGCAGGGGAUCUUCGGACCUUGCGCGAUUGAAUGAGCCGAGGUCGGAUUAGCUAGUUGGCGGGGUAAAGGCCCACCAAGGCGACGAUCCGUAGCUGGUCUGAGAGGAUGAUCAGCCACACUGGAACUGAGACACGGUCCAGACUCCUACGGAAGGCAGCAGUGGGGAAUAUUGGACAAUGGGCGCAAGCCUGAUCCAGCCAUACCGGGUGGGUGAAGAAGGCCUUCGGGUUGUAAAGCCCUUUUGUUGGGAAAGAAAAGCAGCAGGUUAAUACCCCGCUGUUCUGACGGUACCCAAAGAAUAAGCACCGGCUAACUUCGU
rnacentral:rRNA from 1 species